rnacentral:rRNA from 1 species
GACGAACCGUGCGAACGUUAUUCGGAAUCACUGGGCUUAAAGCGCGUGUAGGCGGGCGGGCACGUCCGUUGCUGAAAUCCCCCGGCUCAACCGGGGAACGGGCGCGGAUACGACCUUCCUGGAGGGGCGUAGGGGGACCUGGAACUUCCGGUGGAGCGGUGAAAUGCGUUGAGAUCGGAAGGAACGCCCGUGGCGAAAGCGAGGUCCUGGACGCCUACUGACGCUGAGACGCGAAAGCCAGGGGAGCGAACGGG